UCAAAGAUUAAGCCAUGCAUGUCUCAGUAUAAGCAACUUGUACGUGUGAAACUGCGAAUGGCUCAUUAAAUCAGUUAUAAUUUAUUUGAUAGUGGUUUUACUACAUGGAUAGCCGUAGUAAUUCUAGAGCUAAUACAUGCACGCUGGCCCGACUCGUGAGGGAAGGGUUGUGUUUAUUAGAUCGAAAACCAACGCAGGGUGCAUGCGUGCGAGCAAUCGUUCGUAUGUAUCCGAAUGUAUGGUGAGUCAUGAUAAAUGUCGAAUCGAAUUUCAUUCGAUGUGUCAUUCAAAUUUCUGCCCUAUCAACUUGUUGGUAGGAUAGAGGCCUACCAUGGUUUUGACGGGUAACGGAGAAUUAGGGUUCGAUUCCGGAGAGGGAGCCUGAGAAAUGGCUACUACUUCUAAGGAAGGCAGCAGGCGCGCAAAUUACCCAAUCCCAAUCAUGUUGGGGAGGUAGUGACAAAAAAUACUAAUGCUGGGUCUUUUAGGUUCAGUAAUUGGAAUGGUUUGGAAGCAAAUCGUCCAUAGAGCAGCCAUUAGAGGGCAAGUCUGGUGCCAGCAGCCGCGGUAAUUCCAGCUCUAAUAGUGUAUACUAAAAUUGCUGCAGUUAAAAAGCUCGUAGUUGGAUUUUGGAUGGAACAAGAUACCUGGGUGUUUUUGCCGUGCGUGGCUGUUGUGUGUUUGUCCUGUCUCUUGAAGGGCGCGCAUGACGUGCGCAUGGUCACCGAGGUUGUUUCGUCCCUGUCGUAAGACAUUUUUUCGGAAGUAUCUUGUCCCCUUAAUUGUGGGAGGGGGUAGUUUCGGAGGGUUUACUUUGAAGAAAUUGUAGUGUUUAAAGCAGGCGUUUCGCAGCUGAACACAUUAGCAUGGAAUAAUAAAAUAGGACAUCUGAGCUUGGUACUUGCCCUUCUUCCGCCAGUACUUCUUCCGGGUAUCUUCCUGGUUGUGUAAUCUUUGUGGGGUGUGAACGGGUUGGGAGGGAGUUGUGGGUAGUGUCUUCACGGGUGCUUCUUGCAGCUUCUUUUUUGGUCGUUUUACCUGCAGGGGUUCGCGGCUGGCUUGAUGGUAUCUGAGAUUGCUGGUCUUUAGUGUGGAGGGGAGAUUUUUGAGGCCUGGCUAUCGUUUUUAGAUAUCCAUUUUGUUGGUUCAUGGAGAAGGUGUAAUGAUUAAUAGGGACAGUUGGGGGCAUCCGUAUUGCAUUGUCAGAGGUGAAAUUCUUGGAUUUAUGCAAGACGAACUAGUGCGAAAGCAUUUGCCAAGGAUGUUUUCAUUAAUCAAGAACGAAAGUUAGGGGAUCGAAGGCGAUCAGAAACCGCCGUAGUCUUAACUAUAAACUAUACCAACUAGGGAUUGGAGAGUGUCUUUGAAUGGCCUCGUCAGCACCUUUAGAGAAAUCAAAGUCUCUGGGUUCUGGGGGGAGUAUGGUCGCAAGGCUGAAACUUAAAGAAAUUGGCGGAAGGGCACCACCAGGUGUGGAGCCUGCGGCUUAAUUCGACUCAACACGGGAAAACUCACCAGGUCCAGACACGGGAAGGAUUGACAGAUUGAUAGCUUUUUCUUGAUUCUGUGGGUGGUGGUGCAUGGUCGUUCUUAGUUGGUGGAGUGAUUUGUCUGGUUAAUUCCGAUAACGAACGAGACCUUAACCUGCUAAAUAGCUCCGUUUCUAGAGCUUCUCUUGAGACGUGUGGCGCUCUUCUUUCGGGGGGGGUGUUCGGAGCUUCUUAGAGGGACUACCAUGGUUGCACAUGGUGGAAGCUUGAGGCAAUAACAGGUCUGUGAUGCCCUUAGAUGUCCUGGGCCGCACGCGCGCUACAAUGAUGCAUUCAACAAGCUUGUGCUGGCCCGAAAGGGUCGGCUAAUCUUUUGAACCUGCAUCGUACUGGGGAUUGAUCUUUGUAAUUUUGGAUCAUGAACUAGGAAUACCUAGUAAGUGCAUGUCAUCAGCAUGCGCUGAUUACGUCCCUGCCCUUUGCACACACCGCCCGUCGCUCCUACCGAUUGAAUGAUCAGAUGAAAUGCCCGGAUGCGUGGCACGCUGUCCUUUACGGGGUGGUGUGCUGUGCAGAAGAGUAGUAAAUCUUAUUAUUUAGA
rnacentral:rRNA from 1 species